GCCACAAUCAAUACCACCCUGAACAUGCCUGAUCUCAUCUGAUCUUGAAAUCUAAGCAGGGUUGGGCCUGGUUAGAACUUGGAUGGGAGAAAAUGAUGUAAAAAAAUAGAUCUAACUUCCAGUUUCUGGUC
ensembl:rRNA 5S_rRNA 5S ribosomal RNA